AGACUGAGGACCUGCGACUUCGUGGGACGCCGGUGUCCGCCACUGCGCCCCUCCAGGGAGCAGAGGCGGCUCUGGAAGUCGGUUUAGGGCGGAGACCGCGACUGGAGGGGCGCAGAACGCUCUUCCCAGCGUCCCGGGCUCCACCGGCACAAUUUUAAAACCAGGGGCGAAAUCCGAGUCCUGCCGCCACGCGGGGGUGGAGCGUGACCGCCUCGCCGCGCGCUGUCUCAGGCUCCGCCGGCUUUAGCGCCGCGAGGCUGCCAGGUAAAAUACCUCUUUUCUGACAAGACUAGGACUCUUACAUAGACUACCAUGAACUAAAAGAAGCACAACAUUGCCAGAGUAACCUGUGAUACUGUCUUCAUGCGAACUUGGUAUCCUGUUUCCAUCCCAGCCUUCUAUAACCCAGUAACAUCUUUUUUGAAACCAGUGGGUGAGAAAGACACCUGGUCAGGAACGCGGACCACAGGACAACUCAGGCUCACCCACGGCAUCAGACUAAAGGCAAACAAGGACUCUGUAUAAAGUACCGGUGGCAUGUGUAUUAGUGGA
ensembl:lncRNA novel transcript